AUUGAACGCUGGCGGCAGGCCUAACACAUGCAAGUCGAGCGAGCGGCGGACGGGUGAGUAAUGCCUGGGAAACUGCCCGAGGGAGGGGGGUAACUACUGGAAACGGUAGCUAAUACCGCAUACCAUCAGAUGUGCCCAGAUGGGAUCAGCUAGUAGGGGGGGUAAUGGCGCACCUAGGCGACGAUACCGAGCCGGUCUGAGAGGAUGACCAGCCAGACUGGGACUGAGACACGGUCCAGUGUGCCACGGGAGGCAGCAGGGGUGAAAAUUGCGCAAUGGGCGCAAGACAGAUGCAGCCAUGCGGCGGCUGGGAAGAAGGCCUUCGGGUUGUAAAGCACUUUCAGCGGGGAGGCGUUACCCGCAGUAGAAGCACCGGCUAACUCCCUUCCAACAGCCGCGGUAAUUC
rnacentral:rRNA from 1 species